rnacentral:rRNA from 1 species
GAUGAACGCUGGCGGCGUGCUUAACACAUGCAAGUCGAACGAUGAAGCCCAGCUUGCUGGGUGGAUUAGUGGCGAACGGGUGAGUAACACGUGAGUAACCUGCCCUUAACUCUGGGAUAAGCCUGGGAAACUGGGUCUAAUACCGGAUAGGAGCGUCCACCGCAUGGUGGGUGUUGGAAAGAUUUAUCGGUUUUGGAUGGACUCGCGGCCUAUCAGCUUGUUGGUGAGGUAAUGGCUCACCAAGGCGACGACGGGUAGCCGGCCUGAGAGGGUGACCGGCCACACUGGGUGGGAACAACGGCCGGACCCCCGACGGGAGGGAGGAGGGGGGAAUGUUUACAAAGGGGCGAAACACUGAUGCAGCCAGCCCGGGUGGGGGAGGACGGCCUUCGUUUUGUAAACCUUUUUCAUUGGGGAAGAAGGAAAAUGACCGUAACCUGCAAAAAAACCCCGGGUAACUUCGUG